rnacentral:rRNA from 1 species
CUGUGCAGCUAAUGCUAAAAUGGUUUUGAACGAGGAAUAUCUUGCCACUGGCAAAAUUUUUUCCUCAUAGCCCACUCCCACUACCAGCGAGAAGCCUUUGGCCACAAAUAUGGCCUUGUACUUCUUGAUGCUCCCAUCACCUACAUGCUUCUCUUUGUAAAUACAUAUGGAACCAACCACUGACUUGUUCUCUAGUCUUGACACCACCUCCCAUACAAUGUUCUUCGUGAUGGAGUCAUACUUCUCCAUCAUGGCAUCAACCCACACUGAUUGAAAAAUUGCUUCCUCAAAUGAAGAAGGCUCUGACUCAAUGAGUUCUAUCAUGAGAGCCAUGUACCUAGUGUACCUGUUUGGUUAAAUCCUCUGCCUGUGCACAUAUGUAGGAGCUCCAAAAUGCUCUUGUGCAUCUUAUAACAAUCUUUCAACUUCUCUGGUUCUAUUCCUCCCCUCUUUGGAAUAUUUUGGUUGAGUGGGUGUCUCCACUUGGUAUCCUGUCUUCUCCUCCUCUUAUGGGUGCUCCAUGACAUCCUAAAGCUCUACAUGAGGAUCCUACUUAGUAACUAAAAUCUCCUCCUCUGGUGGGAUACUCAUCUCUCACUCUAGAGAGAAUCUCAUAGUCUUCUCCUCAUCAAAUUUGACAUCUCUCCUCACUACUAUCACUGUGAGUGAGGGGAAAUACACCCUACAGUUAUGUGGUAUCUCUGUGUAUCCUACAAAGGCUCCCAUAUUAAAUGUAGGCUCCAAUUUUUUCUUGCUAUCUUUGGAGACAUGACAGUACAUAGUAGUUCCAAAAAUUUGAAAAUGAGAUUCAUCUCACUUUCUCCCAGAGAAUGCUUUUCUCCUAGAGAAAUCUUUUUCGAGUGUGAUCAUGCCAAGUAUUCUAUGAGGGCUCCUGUUCUACCAAUAAACUACGAUGUUUCAUGCUUCUUCCCAUAUAUGUAAUGGUAUCCCUUGAUAAUGCAACAUGGCUUUUGCUUCUCCCACUAUGCUUAUGUUCUUCCUUUUAGCCACCUAAUUUUGCUGUGGGUUAUGGGGUGCUAUCAAUUCUCUUAUAAUCCCCUCUUUGGAAAAAAAGUCCUUGAAGGUGUUAGGACAUGGGUUAGUCGAUCCUAAGAGAUGGGGAAGCCUUUUAUCAAGGGUGCACUCUGCACAAGCAUCAAAAGGGAAUCAGGUUAAUAUUCCUGAACCGGGACAUGGCGGCGGGCAACAACGUUAGGAAAAAAGGAGACAUUGUCAGGGGCCCCAGGAAGAGUUAUAUUUUCUUUUUAACAACUUUCCCACCUUGGAAUUGGUUCACCUAGAGAUAGGGUCCAAUAGCUAGAAGAACACUACAUGUCUUGCAGUGUCUGGUGCACCCUCGAUAACCCUUGAAAAUAUGGAGGACCAAGUACCAUUCAUGCCCAGUCGUACUCAUAACCGCAUCAGGUCUCCAAGGUGAACAACCUCUUGUCAAUAGAAUAAUGUAGGUAAGGGGAGUCGGCAAAAUGAAUCUGUAACUUCAGGAAAAGGAUUGGCUCUGAGGGCUGGGCCUACGGUUCUGUGCCCUCAACUCAUGGGUUGUCGAUAGUCUGCCCAAGCUGCUCUCACAACGAGGGUGGGCAGUCGCGUGCCGAUUGGGCUAUGGGCCUAGAAUGCCCCUAUUGGGGGCUUUUCCCUAGGUGGCGAACAAUCAACUUAGAACUAGUACGGACAAGGGGAAUCCAACUGUUUAAUUAAAACAAAGCAUUGCGAUGGUCCCUGCAGAUGUUGACGCAAUAUGAUUUCUGCCUAGUGCUCUGAAUGUCAAGUGAAGAAAUUCAACCAAGCACGGGAAAACGACAGGAGUAACUAUGACUCUGUUAAGGUAGCCAAAUGCCUUGUCAUCUAAUUUGUGAUGCGCAUGAAUGGAUUAAUGAGAUUCCCACUGUCCCUUUCUACUAUCUAGAGAAACCACAACCAAGGGAAUGAGCUUGGAAGAAUCAAUGGGGAAAGAAGACCUUGUUGAGCUUGACUAUAGUCCAACUUUGUGAAAUGACCUGAGAGGUGUAGAAUAAGUGGGAGCCAUUUUUGGCACAAGUGAAAUACCACUACUUUUAACAUUAUUUUACUUAUUCUGUGGGGUGGAGACAGGGAAUUGCCCCUGUUUUUGGCCUAUCGAUCCUUUAGAUUUUCGGAAUUUCGAGCUAGAGGUGUCAGAAAAGUUACCACAGGGAUAAUUGGCUUGUGGCAACCAAGCAUUCAUAGCGACAUUACUUUUUUAUCCUUCGAUGUCGGCUCUUCCUAUCAUUGUGAAGCGAAAUUCAUCAAGUGUUGGAUUGUUCACCCACCAAUAGGGAAUGUGAGCUGGGUUUAGACUGUUGUGAGACAGGUUAGUUUUACCCUACUGAUGAACUGAAUCACAAUAGUAAUUCAACUUAGUACGAGAGGAACUGUUGAUUCACAUAAUUAGUCAUCGUGCUUGGUUGAAAAGCCAAUGGCGUGAAGCUAUCGUGUGUCAGAUUAUGACUGAACGCCUCUAAGUUAGAAUCCACGCUAGAACUGGUGCAUGAUACUCUUCGACUGUAUCUCGACCCACAGUAGGGACGUCGCUUUGUCGCCCCUAGGGGCCCUUGUCAUUUGCAAACCAUGACUGUGAAGCAUCUUGGCCGGGGCAACUUUGAAGUUCAAUUCCAGACAG